AGGGCGAGCCGUGCCCUUGCGAGGCCCAUCCGCUCGCCUCUCAUAUUUCUUUCGCUCUAUCCAGCUCUACCUUUCCGUCUGCAUCGUACUGUCGCUCCCCUCCCCCUCCCCCUCCCCUGCCUCCCCUUCGCGUUUCUCCGAUGCUAUCGGGCAUACCCGGUGUGGACCUGGCCCUGCUGACGCAGGUUACGCGGCACCUCGCGGAGCGCCGUCUGCAUGUGUACCGCCCCGGCAGUCGCCGCUCUGCCGCCGCGCUGGUGUUGCGAUUUGGCGAUGACACGCAACGAACUCUCACUAAGGCACUGAGCACCUUCAGGGCCGCCACCGCGCGGCGCGGAUAUGCGGACCCCGACGCGACAGAGGCAAAGGUAUCGGGUGCAGCGUCGUUGCCAUGUGGCAGUGGGCGCACCUCGUCGCGCUUUUCCAGCGCAGCCGCCUCUGCCGCUUCUUCUUCGAUCGCGCGUGACUCAGCAGAAGGCGGCUGGACUGACCCGUUGGAGUUCUUUGAGUAUCUGGCGCACCACCGCUGCCAUCACCCGUAUGCCGACUUCGUCGACGCCGGUGCCCCUUCCUCGUUGCAGCUGCUCUUCCUGAAGCGGACGAACAGGGAGGCGAGACGGUGGAGCGGGCAGAUCGUCUUUCCAGGUGGACGCCGUGACCCGGACGACCACGACGACUUUGAUACCGUCUGCCGAGAAACCUAUGAGGAGAUCGGCUUCCCGCUGCAGCACCAUCGCGAGUUUAUGUGCCUCGGGCGGUUGCCAGACUACCAGCUGCACAGUCGCAUCGUCGGCAGCCGCGGCUUCGUGCAGGCACGCUUCGUGUUUCUGCACGUGGGCGACAUCACGCCAACACUGCAGCUGGCGUCGCACGCGGUGGAGAGUGUGCGGUGGGUGCCGCUGCGGACGCUGACGGCAGCGCACGUGGAGCGCGGGCGUGUGGUGCACCCGCUCCGGAGCUUCGUGAACCCGCAGGACGCAGACACGCGACUGAUGGUAGGGGAGGUGUUCCCAAACACCUACUUGUCCUUUCCAAGUCUUCUGCUACCUGGUGCACCGGCGCCGUCGUCCUCUUCUGCCACCGCGGGUGGCACUGAGGCGGGCGGGAAGGGGUGCAGUGAGGAUGGCGGGACGCCGAGGACGCGGGAGGAUGCCUCGCCAGCUUCCCCUGGGUCACCAUCGUGGCGUGUGUGGGGUCUCACGCUGCGCACCGCGAAUGAGUUGCUGUCGCUGGACAGCUGUCAAGCCUUUGACUGGCCCUUCGUCGAGUCAAACAGCCGCCUCCUGCAAUAUGGGGUGCUUUUUCCUAUGCACGGCUACUACGAGCUCCUCUACCAGUUCUACUGGUGGCGCGCGUGGAUGACGGCGAAGAUGCGCUUGCGUACGCGUGAGGGAUGCGUGGCGGGCCGAGGAGAAACGAACGCCGGUGACGAACAACACGCCAGCAGCACGCUCGGCAGCUCACGAAGCGGGUCGCGCUCGUCGGCGCCUCUGUCGCACCUCUCGAGGGAGCGGCAGCGGUGGCGGUGCGUGCUCUACGGCUCCUCCAUGGAGCGCCGGUACGCGGUCCUCCCUGCGUCGGCGGGUGCGCUGCUCCGCGCUGCGCCCGCGACGCCCACCGCCGAGCACGUUGUGUGCUUUGCGGCGGCGCUGGGCCUCGUUGUGUGUGCGCUGUACACCGUGGCAGCAGCGAUCGCGAGCGUUGGUGCCGCCGUCGGCGCUGCGCUCGGCGUGAAAGCGGACCUGGAUGGCGAAGCACGGCGUCGCGCCUACUACGACGCGAACGCGCCGAUUAGCGUGGUGCGUCAUCGCCGUCCUGCUGCUGGUGCCAGUGCAGAGAUGCGGUCUCUCGAGAAUGCGACGGCACACGGCGAUACUGUGAUCUCUGCAGCGGAUGCCGUCGCACCGAGUCGUGAGACGAGCGAUUCUCGCUCUUGGUGGCUGCGGCAGCUGCGCGGCAGUCGCGUCCCGUGCUGGCGUGCGACCGCUGACGAGGCCGCGCUCUCUGCGGAGCUGCGCAGCACCACCGAAGUUCUUCAUGGGGAGCCGCUGCUCCACAGCGACAGUGCUGUACCACAAGAUACGAGGCGCCGGCUGCCAACCUCGACAGAGAUGCCGGCCGUGAAGCAGCACCUAACAGGCAAGACUUCGGCGGCGAUGCGCCCUACAUCCUCUGACGCUGGUGAAGUCUUAGAGCCUAUCACCGUGAGCCCUUCGCGAGUCACGCCGACCACUGACCAUCUUACAACAUCCUCUGCUAUUUCAACCGUCUCAGUAGACGCCAUCAGAGACUGCGGCAGCGCUGAGGACGCCUAUGAGGUAGGGAAGGGGCGGGGUGACGUUGGGCCUGCCGUCACAGGUGUCGCUGUGCCGGCGGAGCACCUCGUUGCGGCUGCGAUGCCGGCGGAUGUGGCAGGGCUGAGGCACGAGGAGGAGCUGAAGGCGAUCAUGCGCCGCUACCGUCCCCAGUCCACCGCCAACCGAUAGCGUGCUUGUCUCUCUGUGUAUGCGUGUGUGUGUGUGUGACAGGCUUGGGGUUGAGCGUGCCCCUCUGCCGGGGAUAUGCCCCGUAGUGGAGACGGAGGAGGCGAUAACCGCUGCCCCCUUCGCUUCGGACGCUGCUGCGGCGCCGUGCCACCAGACAGGCGUGGCCAACGGUGUGGGCGCAAAGACGCCGGCGACGAGGCGCUUCUGCAGCGAAAAAGGGGCUUGGGAGCGGCGAGUGGGAGGGUGCAAGCGUAUGCGCGUGAGCGCGUCGGGGUUCCAGGCCCCCCUCUCAUCCCUCCAGCGUACUCACACACACGGCUCUCUCUCUGUGUGCGGCUGUGUGGAGGGCGAUGUACACCCUCUCCACCAAAAACAAAGAGAACACAAUAAGCGAGGCAGUCCUUCCGUCUUCCGUCGGGAACGCCCCCCCUCUCCUCCCCCCUUUCCUCACCUCUCCGCCUCCUGUGGCUGCCGAUGCGGAUGCGAUACGCUCGAAACCCUUCCCUGCCUUCAACUCUCUCCCUUCCUUACUUACCUUCUAUGCUCGCGAAAUGGUGCAUUAG
rnacentral:misc_RNA from 1 species